rnacentral:lncRNA from 12 species
CAAUAUUCUGCAAAUGUCUACGGUGUUUCUGACAAGCCCUGCACUCGGGGUAAGGAUGGUCUCUGCUCACCAUGAGGUGCUGCUGACUGGAUGAAAUUAAUUUCUUCAACUCAGCCCCCAUACAAUGAAGUCCUGCAGGACACACUGAAG